AGAAAAAAAAAAAGGCGCACGUAAUUAAACAUUUGAGGCAUGAGGCAUAUGCCUUUUUGGCCUUCCUCAAUAAAACUCGGAUUCGCCCUUUACCACAUUCUUCUCAAAUCUCAUCGGUAACAUCCAAACGCAGACAAACCAAACAAAAAAAGAAAAAAAAAAGGGAAAAACUUUGUUUUGAUCGAAAUAUGGAAUCAAUACAAAGCAGAGUGGAGACGUGGAUCAGGGACCAAAGAACCAAGAUCCUCAAAGUCUCGUGGGGUCCGCUUCAGUGGCCGAUGAGGUGGCAGUGGCCGCCGUGGAACAUCGGCGACAGAGUACAUCGCCGGAAACUCCAGCAAGAGUAUGAGAGACACAAGAUACAGCUCCAAGAGCUUUGCCUAGCGGUCAAAGCUGAUUCCCUCUCCGAUUUGCAAGACAUUCUUUGUUGCAUGGUCCUUUCCGAGUGCGUUUACAAGAAACCUGCUACUGAGAUGAUUCGAGCUGUAAACAAAUAUAAGGCUGAUUUUGGAGGACAAAUUGUUUCUCUAGAACGUGUUCAACCUUCUUUGGAUGAUGUUCCACACAGGUAUCUGUUGGCAGAAGCAGGCGAUACACUAUUUGCUUCCUUCAUUGGAACCAAGCAGUAUAAAGAUGUCAUGGCUGAUGCAAACAUACUUCAAGGUGCUAUAUUUCACGAGGAUGCUAUGGAGGAUAUUGACCGGAUUGAAUUAAAUGAAGCCAACCAAGGUGAAAUACAAAAAGUAAAUGGAGAAAACCAGUUCAAUUCAUUGGAAUCAAAACCUAAGCAGAUUAAAGAUAGGCCUAAACCUGCUGCCCAUCGGGGCUUCAUGGCUCGUGCUAAAGGCAUACCCGCUUUAGAGUUGUACAGGCUUGCUCAGAAAAAGAAAAGGAAACUGGUAUUAUGUGGACAUUCACUUGGUGGAGCAGUCGCAGCAUUGGCUACCCUUGCCAUUUUGAGGGUCAUUGCUGUAUCAUCUUCAUCAAAAGAAACCGAAAAGGUUCAGGUCAAGUGUAUAACAUUUUCCCAACCUCCAGUAGGAAAUGCAGCUUUAAGAGAUUAUGUUAAUAUAAAAGGUUGGCAGCACUAUUUCAAGAGUUACUGCAUUCCUGAAGAUCUUGUACCUCGUAUCCUUUCACCUGCCUAUUUUCAUCACUAUAAUGCACAAAGUUUGUUAAUGUCCUCUGACAUGGGAAGUACCAGUUUAUCGACAUCAAAGAAUGAACAAGGGUCACAAAAAGGAAAGGAAGAGAAGCUAAAGGAGAAUGAAGGGGAGAAAUUGGUUAUAGGAGUAGGGCCUGUCCAGGGUCCCUUCUGGAGGCUUUCGAGGCUUGUUCCGCUAGAUAGUGUUAGAAGACAAUUUAAAAAAUACAGAGGAAAGCAGGUUGAUCCCUUAGAGCCAUCUGCAGCUGACUCAACAACUGCAUCUUCAAUUGAGGAUGUAGUUGUUGGACCACAGUCUCUUGAAAUUCAAGAGGGUACUGAUGGCAUAUCUCUUAAACCAUUUGCUGACCCUGAUAAUGUUGCGUCAGACAUGGGAUCUGGAAAGUUAACUGAAAAAAACAAUGGUAGCGGUGACAAAAAGAGGUGGCGUAGAGUGCCUUCUUUACCUUCAUAUGUACCAUUUGGGCAGCUGUAUCUAUUGGGGAGUUCAUCUGUGGAAUCACUCUCAGGUGCAGAGUACUCAAAGUUGACAUCGGUCAGAUCUGUGAUUGUUGAAUUAAGGGAACGAUUUCAGUCUCAUUCAAUGAAGUCAUAUAGGUCUCGAUUUCAAAGGAUUUACGAUCUUUGCAUGAAUGAUAGUGCUUCAUCUUUCUUUGGAAUGGAGCAAAUGCAACAGUUUCCGCAUCUGCAACAAUGGCUUGGCCUUGCAGUUGCAGGUGCUGUAGAGAUUGGGCAUAUUGUUGAGUCUCCUAUUAUUCGUACAGCUACUUCCAUCGUGCCUCUUGGGUGGAAUGGUAUUCCUGGUGAGAAGAAUGCAGAACCAUUGAAGGUUGAUAUUACUGGAUUCAGGUUGCAUCUCUGCACACUGGUUCAUGCUCACGUAAAUGGCAAAUGGUGUUCAACUACUGUGGAAUCAUUUCCUUCAGCACCAGCCUACUCUUCUGGGAAUGGGGAGCCACCAGAACUACAAAAAAUAAGAGUCUUAGUAGGAGCUCCCUUGAGGCGACCUCCUAAGCAUCAGAUUGUAGCUGAUUCUUUGAUGGCUGUGUAUCCUACAAUUGAUUCAGACACUGUUAAUCUGAAUAGAGAUCAUAAUAUGGCGUCAUCUCAUCAAGAAAAAUACAUAAGGCCAGAUGGUUUAAGUGACUUUUUCAUAGUCUGUACUAGUGAUUUUACAACUGCAUCGAAGGAGGUUCAUGUUAGAACUCGUAGGGUGCGACUUCUUGGUCUUGAGGGUGCUGGUAAGACCUCUCUUUUCAAGGCAAUACUGGGUCAAGGCAAAUUGACAACUAUUACCAAUAUUGAAAAUCUACAAGUAGAAGCUGAUUUUCAGGAUGGUAUUGCUGGCGGUUUAUGCUACUCUGAUACACCUGGAGUAAAUUUGCAGGAGCUGGCCAUGGAGGCCUCUCGGUUCAAAGAUGAAUUGUGGAGGGGAAUCCGUGACCUUAGUAGGAAGACUGAUUUAAUUGUUCUUGUGCAUAACCUAUCCCAUAAGAUACCUCGGUACAAUCAUUCAGAUGCAUCACAGCAAUACCCAGCCCUUUCACUACUAUUAGAUGAGGCAAAAGCUCUUGGAAUACCUUGGGUCCUUGCAAUAACAAACAAAUUUUCUGUUAGUGCACAUCAACAGAGAGCUGCAAUUAGUACAGUUGUUCAGGCAUAUCAAGCAUCUCUAAGCACCACUGAAGUUAUCAAUUCUUGUCCAUACGUAAUGCCUGGUGCUGUUAGUGCUUCAUUGCCUUGGGGUGUUAUAAGUGAAGAUUCUAAUGGGAGAGUGGGUGUUCAGAAGCUUCUAUCCGCUCCCAUUGACCUUGUUCGCCGGCCUUUCCAAAGGAAAGAUACUGUUUUCCCUGUGGAGGGGGUUAAUUCUCUUUGCCAUCUUGUCCACCGUGUUCUUCAGAGCCAUGAAGAAGCUUCCCUGGAGGAACUUGCUAGAGAGAGGCUUUCAUUGGAGUUGGCACAAGAGCAUGCAAUGACAGUAGAUGGGAAGAAGAAUUCACAAGCCAAGGCAUCCUCUUUGACAUCAGCAGCUGUAGGUGCCUCUUUUGGGGCUGGUGUGGGUAUUAUCUUGGCUGUUGUCAUGGGUGCAGCAUCUGCAUUGAGGAAACCUUGAAGGACCUUGGGUAUUCAUAAAUUUUUUUAAUGAUAUUCAAGGCAGCAAGUCCCCUUUGAUGUGGGAGUCAGGUGUGUAGUGCUUUCUCCACCAAUGUAAAUAUUUGUUGAUGUUAGUAUAAUGAACUCCUAGGUGCCAUUAGCGGGUUACGGGCCAUUUUUCCAUUCUACAUGUACAUUUGUUAGAACUUCUCGCUAUUUGUUGUUUGGUUCGGCUGAUAGUUCCACCAUAGACAAGACAUUGUAAUAUUGAACAGCUGUAGCAGACAGUAAUUUUCCCUAGCAUGGUCAGGAAUGGAGUCCUUCUUGUCGGUUCAUUCAUUCUUUUUGGUAUUUACGUUGCAAUCUUGGUGUACAUACCACUCUGGUUGCCUAGCCUAUACACCAAAAUAUUUGGAUUAUAGCUCUGGAGGUGGAAACCAAUAAGCCAUUUUGAGUGCCCUCUUGGUUUGGUAUAUUGUCUUCAAUCAAUUCCUUAUCACAACUCAUCAAUCGAAAAUCACAUUGUCUUUACCUUCGGAUCAACUUGAGGGAAAGAAAGAAGCCUGAAGAUGUGUUUAGAAGAUGUUAAACUUGCUUUGCAUGUGGACUUAAGGUGACGGAGCUUUCAUACAUGAAAUGUGACGGCUGC